CCUCCCCUCCCCCCCCACAACUCGGCUCCGCUUCCGGCCUUGUCUGAGGGGAAAUUUUUUUCCCUCAGUUUUUACUUUAUUCACAAGAUGGACCACUUGUGUGCCCCAAUCUUAACUUUGGAUGGGGGUGUCGCUGUCAGCAAAUCCUCAAACUGGGAAUCCUGGUGGAUGCACGGUGGAGGCCAUGGCUGGAGUCCUCUGCCCAACUCUGGCUGGUGUAGCAGUUGCAGCUUUAUUUGGAGCUGGACCUUAUGACCACCUGAUCAGAUCGCUACCAUGUGCCGCUGAAGAUUACACAGAAACUUGACUACUUGGAUGCUGUUUCAGAUACCCAUGUUGUGGGUGCUCCGUUGACUGCCGGGCAUUUCCAUUCACUCACCACGAGGACCGGUGGAAGAGACGCUACUUCGCUGAGAGCUUUGGUCCCCACUGGGGGGGACCAUAAGUUUGUCCCCCUCCAUCUGUAACCCAAAAGAAAAACAAAUUGUAUGCUUGACAACAAAUUAAACAUAUGCACAUAUUCA